rnacentral:tRNA from 1 species
GCGGGAAUAGCUCAGUGGUAGAGCACAACCUUGCCAAGGUUGGAGUCGCGAGUUCGAGCCUCGUUUCCCGCUCCA